rnacentral:rRNA from 1 species
UACGGGGGGGGCAAGCGUUGUUCGGAAUUACUGGGCGUAAAGGGCUCGUAGGUGGCCAACUAAGUCAGACGUGAAAUCCCUCGGCUUAACCGGGGAACUGCGUCUGAUACUGGAUGGCUUGAGUUCGGGGGAGGGAUGCGGAAUUCCAGGUGUAGCGGUGAAAUGCGUAGAUAUCUGGAGGAACACCGGUGGCGAAGGCGGCAUCCUGGACCGACACUGACGCUGAUGAGCGAAAGCCCAGGGGAGCAAACGGG